GAUGAACGCUGGCGGCGUGCCUAAUACAUGCAAGUCGAGCGAACAGACGAGGAGCUUGCUCCGCUGACGUUAGCGGCGGACGGGUGAGUAACACGUGGAUAACCUACCUAUAAGACUGGGAUAACUUCGGGAAACCGGAGCUAAUACCGGAUAAUAUAUUGAACCGCAUGGUUCAAUAGUGAAAGACGGUUUUGCUGUCACUUAUAGAUGGAUCCGCGCCGCAUUAGCUAGUUGGUAAGGUAACGGCUUACCAAGGCGACGAUGCGUAGCCGACCUGAGAGGGUGAUCGGCCACACUGGAACUGAGACACGGUCCAGACUCCUACGGGAGGCAGCAGUAGGGAAUCUUCCACAAUGGGCGAAAGCCUGACGGAGCAACGCCGCGUGAGUGAUGAAGGUCUUCGGAUCGUAAAACUCUGUUAUUAGGGAAGAACAAAUGUGUAAGUAACUAUGCACGUCUUGACGGUACCUAGUCAGAAAGCCACGGCUAACUACGUG
rnacentral:rRNA from 1 species